rnacentral:misc_RNA from 1 species
AGUCUCUCCACCUCCAUCCUCCUAAAGCCAAGACAAAUACAAUUCAUUCAGAAGUCAUUACAAUACUCAGCAACGAAAGGCCCGUUUAGUUGAAAUGUGAAAAUCAGAAAUGGAAUGGAGCGGAGUUGGAAAAAGGAAUGGGUUUUUCCCACUUCAGUGUUUGGUUAAACAACGACCAGAAAUUCAAUUACUUAAAAGGUUGUUUGGUUGCUGU